rnacentral:rRNA from 1 species
AUUGAACGCUGGCGGCAGGCCUAACACAUGCAAGUCGAGCGAGCGGCGGACGGGUGAGUAAUGUCUGGGGACUGCCCGAUCGAGGGGGCUAACUACUGGAAACGGUGGCUAAUACCGCUUACUAUCGGAUAACCCAUAUUGGAUUAGCUAGUAGGUGGGGUAAAGGCUCAACUAGGCGACGAUCUCUAGCUGGUCUGAGAGGAUGAACAGCCACACUGGGACUGAGACACGGCCCAGACUCCGACGGAGGCAGCAGUGGGGAAGAUGGCACAAUGGGCGCAAGCCUGAUUCAGCCAUGCCGCGUGUAUGAAGAAGGCCUUAGGGUUGUAAAGUACUUUCAGCGGGGAGGCGUUACCCACAGAAGAAGCACCGGCUAACGCCGUGCCAGCCGCCGCGGUAAUAC